rnacentral:lncRNA from 7 species
GAUGGUUUGAGUUCUGUUGCUGUUACAAUAUUUACUCAAACUGUAAUAGCAUCUGAUUUAACACUAUAUAUCUGUACAUUUCUGUUCUUUGGAUUACUGUGACCAGUCACUGAAGAGAAUAAAGGGACAGAAUGCAGUGCCGCCACCACUGCAAACUGCAUCAUGUAGGUGCUUGUCUAGUGCUGAGAAGUCAAUUCAAUCAUAAAAAGUUCAUAGGCACCUCUUGAUUGAGGAAUUAAAGUAUCUUUUUUUUAUAGAUUUCCAUAAGUGGUGGAGCCAAGCACAGCUUCGUGCAUCCUUCUGCUGUGGUCAAAUAUCAUCAUGCCUGCUUGGCAUAAUGCACUGCAGCAGCCAAGUUCAGUUUGGUGACAAAUUUGUGCUCCUGGCCAUUGCCAUGAUAUUUGCUUGACACCUAGCAGGGUAGUGAUGGAAUCUCAGUAGCUGUUCCAACAAAUGGUAGUAAUAUUAGCUUAAGGCUUUCUCAUCCCUGAAACAGAUGGUUUGCAUUCAUUUUACUAGUAACUGAUUUUACCAAUAAUGUUUUUUUUUUGGUCCAGUGAGUACUAAGAGGCUAGGCUACCAAUAAUGAAUAUUUGGCCACAUUGGUCAGUGUGUUGUCUGGUGCCUGCUGGCUUGUGAGCAAAGAUAACCAAUGUUUGUGUUUCUCCAGUGAAUAACUUUUGACUAGUAACCUGUACAAAUGUACCAUGAAUGGGUAAGAAAUUUGUCUUACAUAAACACAAAGCAAAGGUCGCUUAUCAGUUACUUAAGUGCAGAUGGCGAUGUUUAUUGGUUGUUGUCAUAAGCGAAAUACUUGGCAUUUUACCACUGAGUUUGUUGCCUCUAUUAUGGCAUCCGUGCCUAUGGUUUAU